AACGAACGCUGGCGGCAGGCUUAACACAUGCAAGUCGAACGCCCCGCAAGGGGAGUGGCAGACGGGUGAGUAACACGUGGGAACAUGCCCAAAGGUACGGAAUAUUCUCGGGAAACUGGGAGCAAUACCGUAUGUGCCCGAAAGGGGAAAGAUUUAUCGCCUUUGGAUUGGCCCGCGUUGGAUUAGCUAGUUGGUGGGGUAAAGGCCUACCAAGGCGACGAUCCGUAGCUGGUCUGAGAGGAUGAUCAGCCACACUGGAACUGAGACACGGUCCAGACUCCUACGGGAGGCAGCAGUGGGGAAUAUUGGACAAUGGGCGCAAGCCUGAUCCAGCCAUGCCGCGUGAGUGAUGAAGGUCUUAGGAUUGUAAAGCUCUUUCACCGAUGAAGAUAAUGACGGUAGUCGGAGAAGAAGCCCCGGCAAACUUCGUGCCAGCCGCCGCCGUAAGAC
rnacentral:rRNA from 1 species